GAACAUAGCUGGAGCAUGUUUCCUUUUUGGAUGAUGGACUCUUUUGGGGGGUAUAUGCCCAGGAACACUACAACUGGGUCUUCAGUUUGAGCUAUUUCCUAUUUUUGAGGAACCGGCAGAUUGAUUUGCAGAGUGGUUGUACCAGUUUAUAAUCACACUCCCUGUAGAGGAGUGUUCUUCUUUCUCCACAUCCUUGCCUGCAGGUGCUAUAACGUGAAUUUAGACAUCAUUUAUAUUUCACACAAAGAAAGUGGAAUUUAAGGAGCACUUACAGUAAUUGGUAGGGAAUGACAAACUUGAAAAUGAGUGUGAGAAAAGAAUUGAUAUUGUCCUUGAGGUAGGAAAUGUGUCAUGCAGCUGAAGAAAUGUUGAAUGUGGAGCUGAUAUGGACAGGACAUUUUUAUAUUGUUCUUUGUCUCUAUUCUUUUGAGAGAGAAUUUAUGUUAAUGCUAAGUAUGUUGCGUUGUGAUACCUGCCAAAAGUGGGAGGCACUGGUCAUCUCUAGGAAAAGUCCCAGGACAGCUGUAUUUUUUUUUCGUGUACUAUGCACUGCCUUUUCUUACUGAGAGAUGUUUACCAUCUGUCCGGGGGAUCAUAUAUAUUAAUAUAGAAGUAUCACUGAUAAUCUACUGAGUCAUUAUGGCUCCUGCUGUGUGUACUAAGCGAUCAUUUUCUGGGUAAGUAGAAAAACCUGGGAGAUAGUACUUCUUUCUAUGUUAGUAAUUGUGAGAAAGUGGAGUACAGCAUAGAAAUUUCAGAGAAAGGAUAAACUUAGGUAUUUUAUAAUUUUUUUUAUUCAAGAAAAACAAAAAUACAACACAGAUCAAAUUUGAUAAAUGAUAAAAAUCACAGCUUUGUUUCCCAAAUCUUGAAUCUUAGUACUCUACUAUUGAGAUGUUGUAUAUUAGUACGGGAGGAAAUGACCUAGAAAAGGUAAAUACUCAUUGAUACUCAAGUUUACACACAUAAACGAAUAUCAAUGUAGAUAUAUAUCUUAAUUAUGGUUAAUAUGCAGAGGUAAAUAUAAUCAAAAUACAAGUAAACACUCACAUUUCUGGAUUUAUGUAAAACUUUUACCAUAGCAAAAAAUAAUCUCUAACCGACUGGCUCUUUAUAUUGUGGAACAUGGGGAAAGAAAUGUCCAGACUGAAAUCUGUGAAAGCAGAGAAACUGAAGCAAGAUUUGUGCUCAGCACUGUUUUCUAAGUAAAAGGUGAUAGAAUGUUAAUUCUGUGCUAAUUGUGCUCAUAGCAUUAUAGGAAUUUUUAAAGAGGGACAAAGAUUAUAUAGGACAUCUAGGAAAAUACGAUAUAGGUGAAUAUGGUUUUGAAAUUCGUGCAAUGUUUUUGUUCAAUAAGCGACUCACUUUUUAAACAUGAACUGGUGUUUAAUAUCUACCUUCCUCUUACAUUAUAUUUCAUACAACUUAGUUCAAAAGUUCAUGGUUUGAACAGACCUGUAAAUAUUAAGGAGAAGAAUUAAGCAGUUUUUAAUCAAGCGUUGUAGCUAAUGGGUGGAGGAAGAUGUAUUAGUGUAAAGGUUAGUCUUAGAUACGUCUGACAUAUAAGGUGUAUAUCACCGUAUCGCUCUUAAGAGAUAAAAUUGUCCUUUCCAAAAAUUAAAACAAAACCAAUAACUAUCCAACACUGAAUGUACAAAUGUUGAACCACUUGUUAAAUUGUUUCACUAAAAGUAUUUAGAGGUUUUUUUCAUUUAUUUGGACUGGCAAAGUCAAAGAAAUUUCUAUUGGUAAAAUCCAUAUUACACUGUUCCCAUACAUAUUUGAUGUACUACGCCCUGGUAUGCCUGGGAAGAAAUAAUCUAAAACUCAAUACCUCUUCAUUAUUCUAGUAUUACCAAUAUAAAAGGUUUAUAAUGAAAAGUUUAUCAAUUCUAAUAAAAUGAGAUGCUUAGAGAAAUAUUGAAGGAAAAAAAGCCUGUACUCUAAAUCUGAAAGAACUCAAUAAAAGAUAUCUGUUUUUUCACAGCCCCACUAUAACCCAGAAAUAUAUCCUUUAAGGGUUCCUUUCCUAUUAUCUGGGAUGAAUAACUAUUAGACUCUUCCAACUCCAAUCACAAAUUAAAUAGAACAGUCACUGCUACAUCCCAUAACACUCGCUGGUGUGUUUCUCUGAGAAGAAAUUAAGGACAAUUAGAAGGGCAUACCGAAAUAUAGGAAGUAAUAUCUGACUCCUGAAAGGCAGACUCUUGUACUUUAAAAUUUGCCAGGAGAAACUGAGGGAAGACAUGAGGCUGACAUAAAAAUCAGAUUAAUAUGAGGAACAAAAGAACACCCAGGGGCCAAGAAAAUAAAUGCCAAACUUCAGUAUUCUGAUUUCCAAACAUUCAAUUAUUUAUCUAGUAUAGGAAAUGAACUUGCUAAUCCUGAAGAUGGUGCUGUCUAGCAUAAAAAUAUUUCAUGGUAUUCUCUUUAAAUUUCAGAUAUAAUUGUAUCAUUAAUUAUAUGUAUGCACAACAUUUUUGUGGCUAUAUGAACACAUACACACACAUAAAAACAAACACAAACACAAACACAAAUACACAAGUGCAUACAUUUUGAAGCAUCAUCACAUUAAUAUAUAAAGUAUACUAUUGUCCUCAAUUUUAAUCUGUAACCUAUAGAUAAACAUUGAGGUGUCUGAUUUGUUUCAAAUCAUACAAUUACAUUUUGCAAGGAUGAACCUUAAUAAAAUAAAUUUUACUGUUAAAAAACUGCAAAUUUCAACUAUAAAAAAGUCAAAUAAAAUUAAAAUGAGUUUGUGGCCAUUUUUUCCAUCAACAGUGCAAAGAGUGACCAUUUACACUGCAUGAUUUUCAUAAAUUAUUGAUUUACAAUGUGUUGUAAACGGGCAAGGUCAUUGGAUUGCAUGAGUAAAGAAAUAAGGAGACAAGGAACAAUUUGUCCUUUUUAGGGAACUGUGAGGGUUACUGAAAGUAGAGUCUGUACAUGAGCUGGAAAACAAAAUUCUGCAGAUGUACAAAUGGUCAUCAUUGUUUCAGUCUGUUCAUACUCACUGCAUCCUUCUGGGGAGCAUAUGUGCUAUGUCUAGGGACAAUGCUAGAAAAGCUUGGAAAGUCACUUAAUUUACUCUGUGAAACAUGGUCAUCCAUGAAGAAAGGUUCAUUGGUUUAGUGGUGUCAUAUCAUGUGCUACAUCACCAUACUACAGCAGUAAUGAAUAUUCUAGAUUCUAGGACCACAUAUCUGUAAUGAUGGAAAGGAAUAGUGUUACGAUUGCAAACAGCUGUGUUGUGUUAUUAGUUUGCACAUUUGGAACACAGUGCACCAUAGAAAAAUACACAAAGAACAUGCUAACUUAAUGAACACAAAAUUUAAACAGUGCUUAAAAAGUUCAGGAUCCUAUUAUAUCUUUACAUUGUAGUGGGGCUGCAAAGACAAUUAUGAUCAAAAUGUUGCUAUUGUGAUUGCCAAUCAUCACAAUAGGGAAAAGAAGUCAACUUUAUGCUUUAGUGAGUUCUCAGUGUAUAAUUCUUUAAAGAUAUAAGACAUAUCUACUGUAGCUUAAUCUGUAUAAUUAACUAAGUAAUUUUAUUAUGCAGAAUGUACUAAUUAUUUACUAAUGCUAUUCACUCUGUUGCAUUACAUGUAGAUAUUGUAUUUUCCAUACCCAAUACUAAAUGCAUGGAAAGGAAGUGUUGGGAAGUUGUUUUUAACGCUAUAAAAAUCAUCAGAUAAAAACAAUAUAAACAAUUUAUUUCAUCAUAUAAAACACAUAUUUGCAUAUCAUAUGUUUAACAUGGAAAAUUUAACGCUUUAUUUUUAUUGGGUAUAUGUUAAACUGUAUAACAUGAGUAUAUUCCUAUGUACAUCUCACAAAAUUAUGGCAAGUGGACUCUCAGAAAAGAGCUACACAUCAUCACAAGGAAUCAUAAUCUGUUAGUUACAAAGAAUCAGUGAGUUACACUUUCACAGAAUUAAGAGAACCAUAUGACAUAUACUUGUCAUGAUGUGAUACCAUUGGCAAAAGUGAUCCUGUGCUAUGCAGUCUCCAAAUAAGGUUUACUGAGAAAAUUGUGUUUAAAGCUACCUGAUAAACUAUCUGUGAAGUAUCACAGAAGCUGGAUCCAAUAAUUCAGAGAAAAAACAUUAAAAUAAUUUAAAUCAUUACCACAUGAUAUGGUAAGAUACCUUCACCCUUCACAGACCUAACUAUACCUGAAUAUAUAUUUGAUACCUAAAUAAAAAUAUAAGCACACGAUUGGGAAAUAUGAAAUAAUGAAAACUAUAUGUUCCAUUUUUGCCAGGAAACAAAAACCUACUUUGUUUGCCAAGUAUUCAAAUAGAGAAGGAUAGCACCAUAAAUGAACUGAGAACACUCUCGACUGAAUGUUAUUUUCUCCCUAUAUAACUAUUAAACUAAUAUUUAAAUAAUUGUCAACCCAUCAUAAAUAGCAAGAAUUAAUGAAGUCAUUCACAUUGUUGCCUUGAUCAUCUUAAAACUGUUUAAAUGUACUAAUCAGUAUAUGAGGGAAAAUUUCUUUCCUUUUUUCUCAAUAAUUUAUUUUCCAUUCAGUUGACAUCCUGAUUGCAGCCCUGUCCUCUUCUCCUGGUUAAGGAAUAUGGCCACUGAUCAAUCUCAAACAUAAUAGUCCAGUAUCCUCCUGUCAAAAGGAAAUGCAGGGGAAAGAAUGGAGCAGAGAUGGAAGGAAAGGCCAUCCAGAGGCUGCCCCACGUAGGGACCAUUCCAUCUGCACACACCAAACCUAGACACUAUUGCUGACAAAGUGCUUGCUGACAGGAGCCUGAUAUAGAUGUCUCCUGUAAGGUUCUGCCAGAGCCUUACCGACACAGAUGCAGAUGCUAAGCACAGGGCUUCAAUGGGGGAAUUAGGAGAAGGACUGAAGGAGACAAGGCGUUUGCAAUCCCAUAGGAAGAAGAACAAUAUCAAACAACCAGUCCCUUCCAAGGUUCCCAGGGACUAAAUCACCAACCAAAUUACACAUAUGGAUGGACCCACGGCUCCAUUUCCAUAUGUAACAGAAGAUUGACUUAUCUGACACUUAGUCCUUUUGUGGCUCUGUGAUCUAGCAAAGGUGAAUGCUAGAGCUCUCAUGUAGGAGAGGGUGGUUGAGGGAGGAGGAAAGGGAUAUGGAUUUUGUGGAGGGGAAAUUGAGAAGUGGGAUAAAAUAUAAAAUAAAAAAUAUGUCCACUGAAACCUUAUUUCUCUGAACUGCUUUGGCACUUCAAUAAUUGUCAUCAAACAGACAAUAUACCAUUCAAGAGACAAAAAAAUUAUGGAUAUUAUUAUGUCUAUGAUACAUACAAAAACAGGUAAACAGAAAAAAAUAUAGCAUUACCUUUUUUUGCUAUCUGAUAUUUACAUACACUUAAAAACAGAAAACUAUUUUAUUACUCUAUGCUUGAUGAAAGCGUUGCCUUCAUAAGUGAAGUGAAUCAUCAAAAUGCCACAAUUUCUAAGACUAAUAAUUUCCACAUGUAUGCUUCAUGUAAUCCCUUGUUGCCUCCCUACUCAAAGGAUUUACUGAAACUAAGCUUUAUUAAAUGUGUCCUAUAUAUACUCUUAACCUUUAAAUUUGUCAGUAUUAUUGUUCCUGCAAGAAAACAAAUCCAGAUCUCAGAGACCUAUGAGGAAUUUACUUACAUACUGAGAGACAAUUUUGAGAUAGUCCUCUCCUAUGUGGAGGUCAUAAUGCAUUCACAGGUCUUUGAGUUCCUGUCUCAUAUUUCUAUUGUAAAUAAUUUUGUCCUUUGUCUGAUUUUUUCUAUUUUAUUUUCCAAAAGCCUUUACAAUGAAUGGAAGGACUAAAAGAGGAAGAGCACAGGAUCCGAAUGUUGGCAAAUAUUGAAAAACCUGAACAGCUGAGUGGACAUCUUCAAGGAAGUUGUAGGAGCCAGAGGUCUGCAAACA
rnacentral:sRNA from 1 species